rnacentral:misc_RNA from 1 species
CGCUUGGCCUGUCGCGCGACGAUAUCGUGAUCGAGCAAAGCACCGACCGCUCGACCGGAUUCCUGCUCGCCAACCUUGGCGGCUCGUCGCUGUGUCAGGUCGAUGUCGCCGGUUCAUUCGGCGCUGAACUGUCGNNNNNGCGAUGGUGGCAUUCGCGCAGGAAUGGCUGACAAAAUUAUUUGGCGCGGACGUCAAGAACA